rnacentral:rRNA from 1 species
AUCGCCUUAGGAUGAGACUGCGUCUGAUUAGGUAGUUGGUGGGGUAACGGCCCACCAAGCCGAUUAUCAGUACGGGUUGUGGGAGCAAGAUCCCGGAGAUGGAUUCUGAGACAUGAAUCCAGGCCCUACGGGGCGCAGCAGGCGCGCAAACUUUACAAUGCGAGCAAUCGUGAUAAGGGAACCCUGAGUGCCUGUAGAUGCAGGCUGUUCAUAAAUUCAAAUCAUUUGUGAAGAAAGGGCAGGGCAAGACCGGUGCCAGCCGCCGCGGUAAUACCGGCUGCUCGAGUGAUGGCCACUAUUACUGGGUUUAAGGCGUCCGUAGCUUGGAGAUUAAGUCUCUUGGGAAAUCUUGGUGCUUAACAUCAAGGCGUCUAAGAGAUACUGGUUUUCUUGGAACUGGGAGAGGUAAACCGUACUUCGGGGGUAGGAGUGAAAUCUUGUAAUCCUCGAGGGACGACCUAUGGCGAAGGCAGUUUACCAGAACAGCUUCGACAGUGAGGGACGAAAGCUGGGGGAGCAAACGGGAUUAGAUACCCCGGUAGUCCCAGCCGUAAACAAUGUGCGUUAGGUGUGCCGGCAACCACGUGUUGCUGGUGCGCCGCAGAGAAAUCGUGAAACGCACCACCUGGGAAGUACGGUCGCAAGGCUGAAACUUAAAGGAAUUGGCGGGGGAGCACCACAACAGGUGGAGCCUGCGGUUUAAUUGGAUUCAACGCCGGACAUCUCACCGGGUAAGACAGCUGUAUGAUUGUCAAUCUGAAGGUUUUACAUGACUAGCUGAGAGGAGGUGCAUGGCCGUCGUCAGUUCGUACUGUGAAGCAUCCUGUUAAGUCAGGCAACGAGCGAGACCCACGCCAACAAUUGCCAGCAGCAUCUCCGGAUGGCUGGGGACAUUGUUGGGACCGCCUCUGCUAAAGGGGAGGAAGGAAUGGGCAACGGUAGGUCAGCAUGCCCCGAAUUACCCGGGCUACACGCGGGCUACAAUGGAUGGGACAAUGGGUAACACCACCGAAAGGUGCCGUCAAUCUCCUAACCCCACCCUUAGUUAGGAUUGCGGGUUGCAACUCACCCGCAUGAAUCUGGAAUCUGUAGUAAUCGCGUUUCACUAUAGCGCGGUGAAUACGUCCCUGCUCCUUGCACACACCG